rnacentral:tRNA from 1 species
GGGCGCUUAGCUCAGUUGGUAGAGCAUCGCCUUCACACGGCGGUGGUCGCAGGUUCGAGUCCUGCAGCGCCCACCA